rnacentral:lncRNA from 15 species
GCCCCGAGCGCCGAAAACGCAGCUCGACACGAUUCAGUCAGAGCGGAGCAGCGUGGCGGUAUCAACCUUUUCAUCAGCCUCUAAAUGCCAGGCCGCAUUUACUUUACACACACACACACACACACACACACACACUGUCAGAGGGGCGGGGGGAGAACUCUCUGUGAAAGACAUUUAAUAAAAUAAGUCGAGCAAACUGAUGCCCGCUGAAUUUAAAAGUCACAAUAAGUCGAGGUGAAGAAGGUGCGGAGACGUUUACUGUCUAAAUAAAGAUAAAGAGUUUCAGGAUGAAGUUCCAACAGCGGGAUGCAGUCAGUCCCUCCAGGAUUCUCCAGGAUUCUCCAGGAUUUGGCGGGCUUUUUUUUUUUUUUUUUUGAUGGUUGAGGCCUAAAACGAUUUCACUGCAGCCUUUCUAAAAUAAAUGAAAACAUGUUGUGAUGUUUUUAGUUGCAGUGAGCCGUCUGAGGUCGAUUUUAGGUUGAUCUAACAGGUAAAACAGUUUUCUCUGUUGGAUCCCAACCUGUGUCCUGAACAGUCAACACUAUAAGUACAUGGAUGAAGCAAACAGCACAGAAUCCAUCCGCACCUGCUCGAGCUCUCACUGCUCAGCUGAGAUGCGAUCGAGAUGUUUUGGGUUCCUUUCUGAAGAUCCAUCUUUAUCAGUGUCGAUGUGUUCAAGAGUUUUUCUUUUUUCCAGGUCUGUGACGCAGAGAGACUCUCCAGGAACUGCGAACGCUCCGGAUUACAACCUGUGAGCUGAAAGGGACUCGAUUGAUUGGCCGCUGAGGUCGCCCCCUGCCCUGACGAUGGCGGAUCCAAUGAGGGAGGAGGCCUGAUGGGGAUUGAGUUUCUUAAGUAUCUUCUGGCAGCAAGCAGGGUUAGUAUCGAUUGUAACGCUGCAGAAAACCUCCGUCCAAACAAGUCAUUUCAUUUCCGUAUCGAGCUCCUAAAAAAAAUCAGAUUUUUCUGAACUCAAGUGGAAAAAUGUACCAGUGGGGUCGUAAAUUGUCACAUUCAGAAGUAUUUUACAUGUGAAAGAAAUAUAUUUAAAAGAAAUGAAACCAAAAAAGUCCAGAUUCAUAGUCAGUUCAGCUACCACACGCUGCGUUCAAGUUCCUUUAGGAAAGAGCCGGAAAUAGUCUGAGAUAUAUAUAUAUAUAUAUAUAUAUAUAUAUAUAUAUAUAUACUAG